rnacentral:rRNA from 1 species
UACGGGGGGGGCAAGCGUUGUUCGGAAUUACUGGGCGUAAAGGGCUCGUAGGCGGCCAACUAAGUCAGACGUGAAAUCCCUCGGCUCAACCGGGGAACUGCAUCUGAUACUGGAUGGCUUGAGAUUGGGAGAGGGAUGCGGAAUUCCAGGUGUAGCGGUGAAAUGCGUAGAUAUCUGGAGGAACACCGGUGGCGAAGGCGGCAUCCUGGACCAACACUGACGCUGAAUAGCGAAAGCCAGGGGAGCAAACGGG